rnacentral:rRNA from 1 species
UACGUAGGUGGCAAGCGUUGUCCGGAAUUAUUGGGCGUAAAGGGCGCGUAGGCGGUCCCUUAAGUCAGAUGUGAAAUCCCGAGGCUUAACCUCGGGCGUGCAUUUGAAACUGGGGGACUAGAGUGCAGGAGAGGUAAGUGGAAUUCCUAGUGUAGCGGUGAAAUGCACAGAUAUCAGGAGGAACACCAGCGGCGAAGGCGGCGCUCUGGGCCGGAACUGACGCUGAGGAGCGAAAGCGUGGGUAGCAAACAGG